UCCUAUCCGCACAGUUCAAAAAAUUUACAGUGAGCCUGACUUGGAGAACAUACCGUUUGCUGACAUGAUUUUCACUCAUUCAAGAGCAGCUGCAAACCGUCCGUUUCUACUUAUUGAACCUUCCUAUAAAAUCAGUAGUGACGAUAAAAUUAAAGCUUCAACUCGUGCAGCACGAAAUGAAGAAAAAGAUACGAAGGUUAAACCAACCUCAAAAUCUGAUUCUGAGGCACAUUCACAGGCUGGAUUGGUAUCAACUCCUGACUACAAAGAGGGCAAGGCAAUACUGACAUCUACCUCUACUCCCGGCUUGAAGCCCCAAAGUGGCAGUUUG
rnacentral:lncRNA from 1 species